rnacentral:tRNA from 1 species
GCUGGUAUAGCACAGUCGGUAGUGCAUCGGAUUCGUAACCCGAAGGUCGCCAGUUCGAUUCUGGCUACCAGCUCCA